GACGAACGCUGGCGGUGUGCUUCACACAUGCAAGUCGAACGAGGUAGCAAUACCUAGUGGCGGACGGGUGAGUAACGCGUGGGAAUCUGCCUUUAGAUGGGGGAUAACGAGCCGAAAGGUUCGCUAAUACCGCAUAGGUCGCAAGAUUAAAGGAGUAAUCCGUCUAGAGAUGAGCCCGCGUCCGAUUAGCUAGUUGGUAGGGUAAAGGCCUACCAAGGCGACGAUCGGUAGCUGGUCUGAGAGGAUGAUCAGCCACAAUGGGACUAGAGACACGGCCCAUACUCCUACGGGAGGCAGCAGUGGGGAAUUUUACGCAAUGGGCGAAAGCCUGACGUAGCGACACCGCGUGAGCGAAGAAGCCCUUUGGGGUGUAAAAGCUCUGUCGGCUGGAACGAAAAAAAAUGACGGUACCAGCAAAGGAAG
rnacentral:rRNA from 1 species